rnacentral:lncRNA from 1 species
GAUGUUUGCAAAUAAAUAAUAUAAAAUAAUAAGGCCAGGUGUGGUGGCUCACACCUGCAAACCCAGGACCUUGGGACACUGACGUGGGCAGAUUGCUUGAGCCCAGGAAUUUGAGACCAGCCUCGGCAACAUGGUGAGACCCUGUUUCUACAAAAAGUGUAAAAAUCAGCCAGGUGUGGUGGCACAUGCCUAUAAUCCCAGGUACUCAGCAGGCUAAGGUGGGAGGAUCACCUGAGCCCAGGGAGUUUGAGGUUGCAGUGAGCUGUGAUCACACCACUGCAUUGUAGCGUGAGUGACAGAGUGAGACCCUGUCUCAAAAAGCAAAUAAACAAAUAAAAUCAAAAUAAUAAUAGGGAAAUGCCCUUGGUCCACAGACUCAGCUGUCUUCCAGAUGCUAGUCAUUGGUGAAUGAACAACAAGAGAGCCUGCACUGUCUUGUGUGAAGGUCUAGGUAUUUUGGGUCUUUGUCUUGAUAAAAUCAGAAUAGACGUGGCCUCUCACUAUCAGCUAGGAAGCAGUUUGAACUUGGAGUAUCAGAGGGUUGCUCUUUUUGCCAAGCCUCUGGCUUCAAUCCUUGCCUGGGGAUGGCAGUGCUGCUGAGGGAAGGAAGUGGGGAACACUGUGAGUGCAAGGACAGGUGAGGCAGGCACAGACGGCUGUCCCAAGGGAAAGUGCUCCAUCAGCUGUGCCAGGAGAGAAGCAGCUCUUGGGUCCGUGUUUCUGCCUUAGAAGGCAGGAGUUGGGCAUCUAGCUCCAGCACUCAUCCCUCUUGAAACUGCUGGUUUGUUUACUUUCAUUGCAACUAUAUGCCUGGAAGAGAUGAAGAGAAAGCUCAACAGGCUUCACUAGGAUUGUUUGGGU